UACGAAGGGGCUAGCGUUGCUCGGAAUCACUGGGCGUAAAGCGCACGUAGGCGGGUCGUUAAGUCGGGGGUGAAAUCCUGGAGCUCAACUCCAGAACUGCCUUCGAUACUGGCGAUCUUGAGUCUGGGAGAGGUGAGUGGAACUCCGAGUGUAGAGGUGAAAUUCGUAGAUAUUCGGAAGAACACCCGUGGCGAAGGCGGCUCU
rnacentral:rRNA from 1 species